UACAAAUACCCAAAUGUGGCCCAACUGAUGAAAGGAGCCCAAUACUUGGGUUUUUUUAGAGUUUCACCUAAAACCAGCCGUCAUUCACCUCUUUCUCUCUCAUCAGUCCCUCACUCUCUCUCCUCUCCUCUCCUCCCCGUCAUUCACCUCACAUUCUCAGCAUCAUGGUAAAGGCACUUACGCUACUCGUCUUUCGAAGCUUCUCGAUGUUCCUCAUAUUUCUACUGGUGAUUUGGUUCGUGAUGAGCUCGCUUCCUCUGGUUCUCUCAAUCCUAAGGUGGAUUUGUCACACAUCUUGGUGCAGAGCUCAGAUUACUUGAAGUUUUUUACCACAAGAUUUACAAGAUUUUUCCAUCUAGUGAAAAGAUUGAAAAUAUAAAUGACCAGUACCGAACGUUGCGUGCAGAGGAGGUAGUUUUCUUGUCUUUGUUGAAAUCUUAAUGCUUAUCUUUCGUCAUAAAUUGCUAUUUUAAUCUUCUUUUUACCGAUCACAUUUGCAUUUUUGAGUACAUUUGUGGUUCACAUUAUUGAUUUUUUGGGCUUCAAAUCCCUGAAGAUAUAAAGAACCUUGAACCUAAUGAUUGUUUGAUCCAUGUCUACCACUUUACUAAGGAGACUGCACAGAAUCAGAUGAACUUUGGGGAACCCUUUUUCUUGGUCAUUCGUGAAGGUGAAACACUAGCUAAAAUUAAAGUGAGAAUACAAAAGAAGUUGCGUGUUCCUGAUGAAGAAUUUUCCAAGUGGAAGUUUGCUUUUUUGUCGCUGGGUCGGCCGGAGUAUUUGCAGGAUACUGACAUUUUAUCUAGCCGUUUUCAGCCUGGCAGGUCAUGAAAAUUGCGGACAGCGGAGCUGAUAUUGUUGGAAUAGCAGUGCAUGAAUGGCAAUUGAUAUGGAGGGGGAUAUAAUCAAGCACAACACCAUUCCAGAUUGCGCCAAGAAUGCCUACGAAAUUGAUAUGGUGGAGAGAUGCAUCUAGGCUACAAGCUUUGAGGAACCUUCCUCUCACUUUAUGUAAUUGUAUUUAUGGAACUCAAGUAGAGCAUGCUUUUAUUUUAUAUUUUGUAAUUGUUGGGAUUUUCCUGUUGGAGCAGUUUCUAUAACUCCCUAAACUUGUUGAUUUGAUUAA